GAUUAAAUUGUAUAAAUUUCAUUUUUCGAGCAUAGGGACUAAAUUGUAAUUAAUUAAAAGGAUAAGGGAAAAAUAGUAAUUUUGUCAAAUAUGUGUGUUGGAUUAAAUUGAAUAUGAAUUAUAUUAAAUUAAGUUAAAUUUAUUCGUAUAGAUCCAGAUAGACCUAAUACGGAGUUAGAUCGAGGCAAAGAAAAAGUACC
rnacentral:lncRNA from 1 species